rnacentral:tRNA from 1 species
GGCUUCGUAGUUCAGAUGGAUAGAACGUCUCACUCCUAAGGAGAAUGUCGGGGGUUCGACUCCCUCCGAGGCCA